UUCCAGACUCCUACGGGAGGCAGCAGUGGGGAAUAUUGCACAAUGGGGGAAACCCUGAUGCAGCGACGCCGCGUGAGUGAGGAAGUAUUUCGGUAUGUAAAGCUCUAUCAGCAGGGAAGAAAAUGACGGUACCUGAUUAAGAAGCCCCGGCUAACUACGUGCCAGCAGCCGCGGUAAUACGUAGGGGGCAAGCGUUAUCCGGAUUUACUGGGUGUAAAGGGAGCGUAGACGGUGAUGCAAGUCAGAAGUGAAAGCCCGGGGCUCAACUCCGGGACUGCUUUUGAAACUGUGUGACUGGAGUGCAGGAGAGGUAAGCGGAAUUCCUGGUGUAGCGGUGAAAUGCGUAGAUAUCAGGAGGAACACCAGUGGCGAAGGCGGCUUACUGGACUGUAACUGACGUUGAGGCUCGAAAGCGUGGGGAGCAAACAGGAUUAGAUACCCGAGUAGA
rnacentral:rRNA from 1 species